AAUUCUGCUGCUCUCCUUGGUAUUGAAACCGCACUCCUUGGUAGGUGAACUUGGUCUCGGCUGGAUUUCUUGUUGAUCUUCUGGGGGAGGGGCCUGGUGUAGUGAUUCUCAAGUGUCUUUGCCCCAGGCGGAAUUACACCGCCCUUACCCGGGGCCGGGGUGAGUAAUCCGCUCGGGUUUGCUUUCAGGAGCUUUUGUUCCCUGAGCGCUUUCGGUAGAGUUCCAGAGGACGGGAAUACAAAUGGCGGCCUCCUGGUCUCCGGCCCGGAGGAGCCGAGAGCCCAGGGCCGCACUCCUCAGUGCGCCCUCAGAGAACAGCGCCCAGUUACUCCCGUCUGCCUGACCUCCGGCCGCGCUCCGAGCUCACCGAGCCUGCGACCGGUUCAAGAAUUGCUGUUCUUCUUCUCUUCGAUCUGCCGAUGGAUUUUCAGGUGUUUGCAAUCUUUAGAUAAGCUAUCUAGCUGAUCUCCGGCUAGCUGAAGCAGUCUCAGCUUGCUACUUCUCCACCAUCUUC